GACGAACGCUGGCGGCGUGCCUAAUACAUGCAAGUAGAACGCUGAAGGAGGAGCUUGCUUCUCUGGAUGAGUUGCGAACGGGUGAGUAACGCGUAGGUAACCUGCCUGGUAGCGGGGGAUAACUAUUGGAAACGAUAGCUAAUACCGCAUAAGAGUAGAUGUUGCAUGACAUUUGCUUAAAAGGUGCAAUUGCAUCACUACCAAAUGGACCUGCGUUGUAUUAGCUAGUUGGUGGGGUAACGGCUUACCAAGGCGACGAUACAUAGCCGACCUGAGAGGGGGAGUCGCCACACUGGGACUGAGACACGGCCCAGGCUUCCACGGGGAGCCGCAGUAGGGAAUCUUCGGGAAUGGACGGAAGUCUGACCGGACAACGCCGCGGGAGUGAAGGAGGUUUUCGGGUCGUAAAGCUCUGUUGUAAGAGAAGAACGAGUGUGGGAGUGGAAAGUUCACACUGUGACGGUAUCUUACCAGAAAGGGACGGCUAACUACGUG
rnacentral:rRNA from 1 species